rnacentral:rRNA from 1 species
UGCCAGCAGCCGCGGUAACACGGGGGGCGCAAGCGUUAUUCGGAAUUAUUGGGCGUGAAGCGAGUCUAGGCGGCUUGUUAAGUCAGAUGUGAAAAUGCGGGGCUCAACUCCGUAUUGCGUUUGCAACUGGCAGGCUAGAGUACUGGAGAGGUGGGCGGAACUACAAGUGUAGAGGUGAAAUUCGUAGAUAUUUGUAGGAAUGCCGAUAGUGAAGACAGCUCACUGGACAGAUACUGAUGCUAAAGCUCGAAAGCGUGGGGAGCGAACAGGAUUAGAUA